rnacentral:rRNA from 1 species
UGGGGAAUAUUGGACAAUGGGCGCAAGCCUGAUCCAGCAAUGCCGCGUGUGUGAAGAAGGUCUUAGGAUUGUAAAGCACUUUCGGCGGGGACGAUGAUGACGGUACCCGCAGAAGAAGCCCCGGCUAACUUCGUGCCAGCAGCCGCGGUAAUACGAAGGGGGCUAGCGUUGCUCGGAAUGACUGGGCGUAAAGGGCGCGUAGGCGGCUUGUACAGUCAGAUGUGAAAUUCCUGGGCUUAACCUGGGGGCUGCAUUUGAUACGUGCGGGCUAGAAUGUGAAAGAGGGUCGUGGAAUUCCCAGUGUAGAGGUGAAAUUCGUAGAUAUUGGGAAGAACACCGGUGGCGAAGGCGGCGACCUGGUUCAUGAUUGACGCUGAGGCGCGAAAGCGUGGGGAGCAAACAGGAUUAGAUACCCCCGUAGUCC